GAUGAACGCUGGCGGCGUGCCUAAUACAUGCAAGUCGAGCGAACAGAUGAGGAGCUUGCUCCUCUGACGUUAGCGGCGGACGGGUGAGUAACACGUGGAUAACCUACCUAUAAGACUGGGAUAACUUCGGGAAACCGGAGCUAAUACCGGAUAAUAUAUUGAACCGCAUGGUUCAAUAGUGAAAGACGGUUUUGCUGUCACUUAUAGAUGGAUCCGCGCCGCAUUAGCUAGUUGGUAAGGUAACGGCUUACCAAGGCAACGAUGCGUAGCCGACCUGAGAGGGUGAUCGGCCACACUGGAACUGAGACACGGUCCAGACUCCUACGGGAGGCAGCAGUAGGGAAUUUUCCGCAAUGGGCGAAAGCCUGACGGAGCAACGCCGCGUGAGUGAUGAAGGUCUUCGGAUCGUAAAACUCUGUUAUUAGGGAAGAACAAAUGUGUAAGUAACUAUGCACGUCUUGACGGUACCGUAUCAGAAAGCCACGGCUAACUACGUG
rnacentral:rRNA from 1 species